UUAAUUUGAUGAUCUGUGCUUCAAGUUACAAAAUCAAGAAUUAACUCAAUUGCAUUCGACAUUGUUCGAAUAAGUGGAAUCUGUUCGGUGCUUCGCUAGAUUGUUAAAUUUGGGAAGGAAAUUCCUAUCGAAACAUCAUUGGCCCAAUCGGUUGAAUGAGAACGAGGGGCAGGAAGAAAAUAGGCCACAGUGAAAGGAUGAAAAUGUGUGCGUAUUUCGUCUUUUCGUCUGGGCGAUAAUAUUUACAACAUCGGUGCUGAUGGUAUGCGUACCCGUGUGCGAUGCGUGUGUAGCUGUGUGCGUAUUCUUUCGUACAGAAGAACAACUUCGAUAGCGUAAAAGAACAAAAACAGGCCUGGAUUUCACCAAACAAACCGCGCCAUUAUUGUGCUUUUGUUAUUCGCCUCCGAUGGUUCGGUGCAUUUUCGAUCAGCUCAGGAAAUUUUCUGCCUUCAAUAGUUUCGGGGAUUCUGUGCUCAAAACAAUUCCAGGGAAGACCAGUGCUCUGGAAUACGUGUGUUCAAAUAGGUUUCUAGUUUAAUAUCUGAAAAUUUUGCAGCAGUGUUCAGUGUAUAAUGAAAAAGUAAUACCAAAAUCUCGCUUUCAACGGAAGGGAGUGAAAAAAAUCGUGUUUCCUAGGAUUGUGGACAAUUUUUUUUUGUGUGAAUUGUUGAUACAGGUAAGCGGAAUAGUUUGAGAACGUAGGUGAAAAGAAGAAAAGAAAACUUGUGUUCAUUUUGCAAACAAAAGUGCAUACAUCGGUGGGAAAGAUCCUGUGAAGAGAGGAAGGAUAUAUAGUAACGAAACAAUAAACAAUCACACACGCCAAAAUGGCUGGUGUAUUCGAUUUGGAGCUCCACGAAGAGGAAAACAUUCGUGACUCGGACGAUGAUGUGAUCGAGGUGGAUGAUAUGAACAACAAUAUGCUUGGUUCGCCUACGGUCGAUCUGGAGCCGGAGUUGCACAUCAACAGCGAUCUAGCCGCCGAAGGGGCGGAGACCAUUACACUGUCGGAGCACAAUGUUAACCCUGGCAUGGUCCGGCUCAACCCCAGGGAUUUCGAGCUGAAGAAAGUGCUGGGAAAGGGUGGUUAUGGAAAAGUUUUCCAAGUCCGCAAAAAUAGCGGCGCAGAUGCCGGAUCCCACUUCGCCAUGAAGGUUCUCAAGAAAGCCUCAAUAGUUAGAAAUCAGAAAGACACAGCCCACACACGUGCUGAGCGCAACAUUCUGGAGGCAGUCAAGCACCCAUUCAUAGUGGAACUGGCGUACGCCUUCCAGACAGGCGGAAAAUUGUACUUAAUCCUUGAGUAUCUCAGUGGCGGCGAGCUUUUCAUGCACUUGGAGCGUGAGGGAAUAUUUCUAGAGGAUACCACCUGCUUUUAUUUGUGCGAAAUUAUUCUCGCCUUGGAGCAUUUGCACGAUCUCGGCAUUAUUUACCGGGAUCUUAAGCCAGAGAACGUACUGCUCGACGCCCAGGGACACGUCAAACUAACCGAUUUUGGCCUCUGCAAGGAACACAUCCAGGAGGGAAUCGUUACGCACACAUUCUGUGGUACUAUAGAAUAUAUGGCACCUGAAAUUUUAACCAGAAGUGGUCACGGUAAAGCUGUUGACUGGUGGUCACUCGGAGCUCUGAUGUACGACAUGUUGACGGGAAUGCCACCUUUCACGGCAGAUAAUCGCAAGAACACAAUAGAUGCCAUUCUUAGGGGUAAACUCAACAUACCGGCCUACCUAGCGUCCGACUCGCGCGAUCUCAUUCGCCGCCUUAUGAAACGUCAGGUGACACAACGUUUGGGCAGCGGGCCCACAGACGGGCAAGCGGUGCGGGCUCAUGCAUUCUUCAAAAACGUCUGCUGGGAUGACGUGCUAGCUAGACGACUGGAUCCUCCAAUCAAACCAGUUCUGCGAAGUGAGGACGAUGUAUCACAAUUCGACACAAAAUUCACUAAGCAAAUUCCCGUUGACUCUCCCGAUGAUUCCCUGCUGAGUGAGAGUGCCAAUUUGAUCUUUCAAGGAUUCACCUAUGUCGCCCCUUCGGUGCUAGAGGAGAUGGCCAAAACGACGACAGCUCGUUCCCCCCGUCGGACACCCCGCCAUCACCAUAUCGGCAGUCACAGUAGUCACGCACAUAUGUCCAACAGCCGCCGCAUAAGUGGUGCCCUGGAGAAUGGUGCAAUAACGCGCGCAGACGAGCAGAUGCUCAGCAUGCCCCGGAUGCAGCCUCACACAGCCCACGGCAGCAAUCAUCACAUGGUGUUCCAGCAGCAGCAGCCACAUCAGCAGGCGCCCCAACCUCAGCAGCUCCCAUCUCAGCUAUCGGCAGCAAGAAGUGCGCAGUUCGGCGCCGGACCGAGUAAUCCAACCAACCCUCGGCUCACGGCGGCUCGGCUGCAACCCUUCGCGUCUAGGCCCUCCCCUCAGGAUGAAAUGAUGGAGGUGUAUCCUGAGCUACCGAUUUCUUACAUACGGGCAAACAACAACGUAGCGUCGGUAUGUUCAUGGCCUGUAAAACUGUGAUUUGGCAUUUAUUUUGAUCCCACCGCUCACGCACACAUAGUUCUUCGGGUGCUUUCUCUCGAUUCCGGCAGAGAGAUUGAACUGAACCGGCACCGGCGCAAACCCCCCCAAACAUACACACUAUCAUCAGCGGCGCGCGAAACCCACCGGAACGAAACCCGUUUAUGACAGUGGAGAGUGUACUUUUUCAAAAUUAACAAGUAAGAAGGCCAAGAGUGGAUUACAACAAUUUUAGAAGAUUUAUAAUAUAACAAAAUACUAGUAGUUAAAUUUUCACGAAGGAUGAGGAAGAGGAGACAACAAAAGUGGAUUAAUAUUAUUAUUUGUCGUACGUCAAACUGCAGCAAUUGAUGAUGAUUUACCAGAGCAAACGAGAAAGCGAGAGCAGAUCAAGAAUCGGCAUAUAAUGGGAUAAGAGUGUCGACACGCACGUGUUAGCGACAGCAGCUUGUUGUAACCGAUAUAUUAACAGGUUAUGUGAAUAGGCAAUAUUUUACGUGAUUGACCAUUUAUUGAAAGAGUCGACAGAGACACAUAAACAACACAUACACACCAAGCGAGUAUAAUAUGCAAGCAAGCAAGCAAACAAGCAAGCUGAACAACACUGAAUAUUGAAUGAUGAUCAGACAGCGUAAUCUAACAAGCAAAUGAGAUGUUAACAACGCAGCGGUCUCGCAAUCGCCAUGGGAAUAUAUGAAAGAAUAUAAGCAAAACUACGGUUGGAAUCAUCUUUUCGAUGCACGAUUAUUGUUUCACUUAUACUCCUAGAUAUUGUGCCCUCGGAAGGAUAUGUACUAACCUGUAUUACAACUUGACAAUUCAAACACAACAUGAUUCAAAGGCUCGGUUUGAUAAUCACACUCUGCUCCAGAUUAAAACGGUAAUACCUAGUGAUAAGAAUUUAAGCUUAUGAACUUGUUGAAACAAAACAUUUCUUUUGCGAGUGUUGCGAAGAUGCCACAAAAAACUUAAGAAAAAGAAACCGUUUUCAAUUUAGGUUAAAACAAAUAUAUGCAAAAAUCUAUUGUUGAAGCGCUUCGUAAGAGCAGACUGUUCCCGCGCAACAGUGCAGAUGGAGUUGAAUAAAAUCAGAAAAUUGAGUUCCUGUAUACAACACAACACAACAAAACACCACCCUCAGAUGGCAGAAUGGCAAAGCACAACAAACAACACAUUAAUGCAAAAGAACAAAACAUUUAGAGUAAACUGAAUUAAGAUGUUUCAAAAGAUGAAAAAAGCAAACUCAUUCAACUUUGAAAACACGUUUCUUAGGGAAAAAAUCACCUAUUACAUGAAGGCACGAAUGAGAGUUGUUUUUGUUGGCUAGAAUGAAUAUUAUGAAGGAAUGAACAUAGGACUAAGGAUUCUUUUAUAAAUAUAUGGAUUAGUUUAGCAGCACAGCAGUACCACAAUGUAACGGAAUAUGAUGAAUCCCGUAGAUCAAGAAGAAAGUCACAUUUUGUCGAGGAUGCAAAAUAAUUAUGGAAAAGGCGAUUUUUGUAUAGUUAGGAAACCUAGCAUUGUAACCUUCUUUAGCCAAAUAUCCCUCCAAAAAGCAAACGUAAUAGUUAUUUUAAUCACUAGCUCGAGGUUGAUGAUGAUGAUGACGAUGAUAUGGUUUGAUGCAGUUACACCGGGAAAGAACAGAUUAUAUUCUAAACACAAUAGCAGCAAUGAUGGAUGCAGAUGAGUGGCGAGUUGCUUUUUCCUCUCAACAACAACCAUCAAUGUCUGUAGAGAAAGUAAGUAAAAUAUGACUUAAUUUUAACAACAACAUAAAAAAAACACCCUUACCAAUAGAAAAUUAAAGCGAACUCCUAAUAUAUUGAAACAUUCUGUUCACUUAAGCCGUUGGGUAAAAUGAUGGAAACAAAGCAGAAGCGAAUACAUAAUGCCGAAGAAAUUGGAACCACAAUGGUCACAACAGAGAACGAAACAUAAAAUGCAAUAGUCUGGAUUCUCAAAUGAACAUAAACUGAUUUGACUGAUUUUAAGGUAACUAUUUUAGAAUAUUAUAAGAGGAUUAUUCACAGUAACCUGCGAAUAGUAGAGAAUUUUUUGUACAAUAGACCAAAUAAAACAUAUAGCAAACAAAUAGAUCAAUGAUACCAACCAAACGAUAUUCUGCAGUUUUCCGAUAAUUUUAAUCAUUAAUGUAUUAACACUAUGUUUUAUCCAUUCGAUUGAGUUUAGUGCUCAUUCCUAGCUAGGGCACUAUUUCCAAGUAAUGCAUUAAUCAACCGCUCAGCUGAUUUUCUUUCUCUCAUUUUUGGCAUUCGGGUCUAGGAGAAUAACAUUUCCUCCGACAAUCGGUUGAAUGGGAAAUAAAUUCAAUUCAUUUCUGAUUAUAGUUUACCAUUUUCAAAAUCACUAUAUUAUAAUAUUACUUACGUAGAGAAGAGCGAGAGACCAAGUGGAGCCUAGAUUUUUAGUGGAAACUAAUCAAAUUGAGGAAGCCCAAAUGUGUGUGCGUAUAAGGUUGAGCAGUUGAACUGGCAAGAAAAGAUCGUAUAAAACGCUUGAAGAUUUGAACAUUUAAAA